AUCGUUAACUCGAUUCCACGCUCGAUUCCCAUGGUUGGUAGAUAAAUUCGCGUCAUUAGAGGUUAAUGGAUAAAUUCACGUGUCUUAUUGGAAACUCUUUUUUAUCAUCGGAUUAUUGUGUGCUAAUAAACGAGCAGCAUCAAUCAUCGUUAGUGAAAUGAAACGGACGAAUACACACACGGAAACAUAUAAACGGAUAACAUCGGAAUCCUAAGCUUUCUGGAGAUCUCCCGUAGCCAAAUACAACGACGACGACGCGACAACAUGCUCUGGGAGUUCGGAGGUCUGUUUACACGAGUUCGCAAAUAUAGCCAUAGGUAUCGGAGCCAACCGAAGCGAAGAAUUGAUAAAUUAGUUAUUCCGUCAGUCGUCUGCUGCUGUUCCUCCAGAAACGAAGAACUACAGGUCUUGUGGCGAUCUAAUGUUGCAGAAUCAAAAAGUAUAUUUUUCCAUGAAACGGACAUAAUUUGAUGUCAUACAUGUAAUCUGAUACAUGUCAGACGUUAGAGAUUAUACAAAGUUAUAAAUUAUUCGGAAAAGCUUUAAUAGUGGGCGUAGCUGGCCCGUUUAUCAUCGGAUAACAGUUCCGGAGUAUAUCCUUUGAAUGUAACUCUACUCUUGGGCAAACAAGACUAAGGGUUAUGACCAUUCUCGUUUGUCUUUGCAUCCAGAGAAUCUUCGCGCGAAAUCCCUAGCCAGGACCCAAUUAACUCUCUAAGAAUUCGAUCCUAUCCCAUGGUAAUUCUAAGAUAGUACGACUCGAACAGCAGAUUAGAAAAGACAAUAUUUGCUUCGGUGCUUCUGCGUCUAAUCGCAGAUGCGCCUUCACUUAAUAUCGCUUACUAUUUGUCUUCCCUUACAAUGGAAAUUUGCGACGUGGGUAUUACACAGAUAGAACAAAAAUCGAGGGUCACGUCCAAAAUAGCCGACAUCUGAUGCGAACUGCAACGCUUCUAAGAAUCCUUCGUCUCUGACCACAGAAACCCGUAUCCGCAUCGACGACGGUUUGAAUUGAAGAUUUUUGCGGACGGUAACUCGUUGGCUCACGCGCUAACGUAUUUGCAAGAUCCGCUGCGCUGAUGGACAUAUAAUGCGACGUGUGAUUGUAGGCCCGCCAAUCGCGGCCGAUUGUGCCUCUGAAGGCCCGCUAACUAUCUCAAACUAGCCCCAUUCAAACCGCCACGACCUCUCUCUAGCCGUCUCUAUCUACCAGCCCAGCCUCUGUGUCUCGCUCGUUCCAACCCUCAUUCACCGCCACCCUCCCCCCGGUACCCGUGCGUCUCGUUCAUCACCAAACUUCGCCUCUCUGUUGCUCUCAACUUGCGUCUCGUUUGCACCGACUUCACAGGACGAUUUUCCCUCCUACUCGGUGAAAACUCAGUCCUCAUUCGACGUUCGAAUUCGACGUACGUUUCUUGCCGCACGUUUCUUCUGCACGCCCUGUAUCCCUCUCUAAUUUUCGACCGGCUCUCUCGCCACACACGUAAUCUUCUAUUUCAUUCGCUUUACCUUUCCUAAUGCGAUAGCUCGCUCCAUACACAUACACAGUCGUAGCCUCAUCUCUCUUCAAUCUCACUUCGCGGAUCGAAUGUUUUGCCUUCCAUUUAACAUUCUUUAUCUCGCUCCCUCUAUUCAAUUCUUUCAAAAAAAGCUUUUCUCUUCGAGGUUCUGGCGAUUCCAUUCGCCCCGUUAUCUGGUCCUCCGUCCAUCUAAUGUUUCCACUUUCUUUUCAUCCGUUAAAUCGUGCAUCUCGUUUAACUCGACUUCCGUCGAAAUUCAUACAUUCUCGCCUCUAGCCAUUCCUUUUAAGAAUGUAAGCCCUACAUGCACUUUCUUCCCUGCUCCACCGUCACCGCUUCUCACUCGUUUGAUUUUCGCGUUCUUUUUCUCGACUAUGCAGCACUGCUUCAUUUUCCCCCUUCUUAAAUCUAUGUUCUCUCUCACUUUCGUCCCUCUCUCUCUCUCUCUCUCUCUCUCUUUCUCUCUACCCUUUCGAACCGCAACCAACUACCUCUCCUCUUUCAACCUAUUCCCCCGACGUACCUUAUCUCUAUUCUCGGUCUCUGUUCGACCUGCUUCAUUCAUCGACACAAUCACGCAUGGUUACGUAGGUACAUUCCGCUAGGCGUCACCGAGUAUUCGUCCCGAUUCGAAUUCUCGACCCUAUAUAACCGUGGCACGUUCUACGUGGGAAUUUCAAAUCUAUCAGCGACCCAGACGAAUGCAAAUCGCGCAUGAAGCGCGCUUAAUAAAGCCUCGCACGCGGCCCGCAACUCGCAAUUUUCUUUUCGACGCUACGUGUCGCACGCUCCUCUUAAUGAAACCUUCGCAUGCACCGUGCGCAAUUCGCGGCUACGCUCUCAUUCAACACGCAUCUCCGUCCCGCGAUACCGUUAGAAAAAGAACGCACUCGGGAUCGUUAAGCUUCGGCCCAGGGGAGAGAACGAGGGCCAUUUCAACUCCCUUGUAGAAAGAGAUCCGUUCAUAAGAAUACAAGUUCCAUAGAAUAAAACUUUUCUAGUAAAUCACGGAAAUUCUAUUGUCUAAUAAACUUUAUGGAUAU